AACCAGCUACUACAAGUACCGUGAGGGAAAGUUGAAAAGCACUUUGAAGAGAGAGUUAAAGAGGACGUGAAACCGAUGAGAUGGAAACGGACAGAGCUAGCGUAUCUGGCUUGCAUUCAGCUUGCGCAGUCGCUGCCCAUGAAUCGCUGACCUCCAGAUUGGGGCUGUUGACUAGUGGGCCGGUGGCGGUGUAGUGCAUUUGCAAGUGGAGUGCGUCGAGGCGCCCGGGAUGGCGGAAUGAACUAGGCUCUGAGGCCAGCUUGCUGGUACCCGGGCUUGGGGAUUUCUGUUCGUUCUGAGCGUUCCCACGAAUGGACAUGGCUUUGCGAGUUUGGUUGGGUGCCGAGUCGGGGGCCGGUGGCGGUCGCAUGCGACACGUACUGUGCACUCGGUUCGUGCCUGGCCCGGCUCCUCCACUGUUCAAUCUCGGCGUAAAAGCUGGUCAUCUUUCCGACCCGUCUUGAAACACGGACCAAGGAGUUUAUCGUGUGCGCGAGUCAUUGGGCGUUCAAAACCCAAAGGCGCAAUGAAAGUGAACGUUUCCAUUUCGGAGCCGACGUGCGAUCCUGGUCACUGCGGUGGCCAGGCGCAGCAUGGCCCCAUCCCGACUGCUUGCAGUGGGGUGGAGGAAGAGCGUACGCGAUGAGACCCGAAAGAUGGUGAACUAUUCCUGAGCAGGAUAAAGCCAGAGGAAACUCUGGUGGAAGUCCGAAGCGAUUCUGACGUGCAAAUCGAUCGUCUGACUUGGGUAUAGGGGCGAAAGACUAAUCGAACCAUCUAGUAGCUGUUUCCUUCCGAA
rnacentral:rRNA from 1 species